AGUUCUAUCUCAAAGAGAUGACGGAUGAAACUAAACCUGUUGAGAUAAUAAUUUCACAAUACAGGCUGACUGAUCCCUUGGGGUAAUUGGAAAGGAAGCACAUAUUACUGUAAUGCAUUCACUGAACAAGAAUUCAAGAUGGGCCAUCUUACAAAGUACAGAAGUGGUUAAGAAGAUUGGAUAAGGACAAUUGAGCCCUCAUUCCCUGAAAAGUAUGUUUCUGAAAAGAAAAG